rnacentral:rRNA from 1 species
CCUACGGGUGGCAGCAGUGAGGAAUAUUGGUCAAUGGCCGUAAGGCUGAACCAGCCAAGUCGCGUGAAGGAAGAAGGAUCUAUGGUUUGUAAACUUCUUUUAUAGGGGAAUAAAGGUAUCCACGUGUGGAUAUUUGCAUGUACCCUAUGAAUAAGCAUCGGCUAACUCCGUGCCAGCAGCCGCGGUAAUACGGAGGAUGCGAGCGUUAUCCGGAUUUAUUGGGUUUAAAGGGUGCGUAGGCGGAAUGCCAAGUCAGCGGUAAAAUCGCGGGGCUCAACCUCGCUCCGCCGUUGAAACUGGCGUUCUUGAGUGGGCGAGAAGUAUGCGGAAUGCGUGGUGUAGCGGUGAAAUGCAUAGAUAUCACGCAGAACUCCGAUUGCGAAGGCAGCAUACCGGCGCCCAACUGACGCUGAAGCACGAAAGCGUGGGUAUCGAACAGGAUUAGAUACCCUGGUAGUC